CAGUCCUCUGAAAUAGCUGAGCUAAGUAGAACAGUGAGAGUGUUUUCACUCUGCCUUCAUGGGGGACAUCAGAAGUAGUGAGCCACAUUUUGAGCUCAUCUCAUUGAAGUAACUCCAUUGAUUUCAGUGGUGUUAUGGCAGAUUAAUGCCAGUGUCACAUCAUCUGAAUCUGACUCAGCACUGCCCUUUCCAGAAUCGGUAGCCCUGUGAUGAAGAGUAUUUCCUAGCAGUUAGAGCGUAGAAGUGGGGUUGGGACUCGUGGAUUCUACUUCUGGAUAGACUUCUUAAUGGGAACAAUGAAAGCUCAGAGCCCAAGAGAGACUACAAUGUGGAGGUGCCUGUGAUGUGUCAGCCUGGGCAUGUACAGAACACCUACUCCUUUUUUGCAGCAGCAGAUAUGCAGAACAUGAAAAAGAAAAGGUGCUGUCAAGACGCUAUCAGGAUGAACAUUUCUUUGUCACAGAAGCACCAAGUAGAGUUGGGAGGGAAAUGGUCUCUCUGUC